GAUGAACGCUGGCGGCGUGCUUAACACAUGCCAGUCGAACGGAAAGGCUCCUGCUUGCAGGGGUACUCGAGUGGCGAACGGGUGAGUAACACGUGGGUGAUCUGCCCUGCACUUCGGGAUAAGCUUGGGAAACUGGGUCUAAUACCGGAUAGGACCGCAUUUUGGAUGGUGUGGUGGAAAGUUUUUUCGGUGUGGGAUGAGCUCGCGGCCUAUCAGCUUGUUGGUGGGGUAAUGGCCUACCAAGGCGUCGACGGGUAGCCGGCCUGAGAGGGUGUACGGCCACAUUGGGACUGAGAUACGGCCCAGACUCCUACGGGAGGCAGCAGUGGGGAAUAGUGCACAAUGGGCGCAAGCCUGAUGCAGCGACGCCGCGUGGGGGAUGACGGCCUUCGGGUUGUAAACUCCUUUCGCUAGGGACGAAGAGUAAUUGACGGUACCUGGAGAAGAAGCACCGGCUAACUACGUG
rnacentral:rRNA from 1 species